GGGCUGUGGUCAGAGCAGGGGCCCUGCAGGCCAGUUCCUCUGUUUAAACACAGCCGAUAGCAAUCCGGGGUCCUUGUGAGGAGAGCCACAGAAUGUGCGGCCUUGCUCCAAACAAACACCCAACAAGU
ensembl:snoRNA